CGUUAAGUAUCCCGCCUGUGGAGUACCCGGGUAUCUAAUCCGGACGCUGAGUAACGCGUGGGAAUGUACCCCAAAGUGAGGGAUAACGCAUCGAAAGGUGUGCUAAUACCGCAUAUGGUCUUCGGAUUAAAGCCUUCGGGCGCUUUGGGAACAGCCUGCGUCAGAUUAGAUAGUUGGUGAGGUAAUGGCUCACCAAGUCGACGAUCUGUAACUGGUUUGAGAGGAUGAUCAGUCAGACUGGAACUGAGACACGGUCCAGACUCCUACGGGAGGCAGCAGUGAGGAAUCUUCCACAAUGGGCGAAAGCCUGAUGGAGCAACGCCGCGUGCAGGAUGAAGGCCUUCGGGUUGUAAACUGCUUUUAUAAGUGAGGAUUAUGACAGUAACUUAUGAAUAAGGAUCGGCUAACUACGUGCCAGCAGCCGCGGUCAUACGUAGGAUCCGAGCGUUAUCCGGAGUGACUGGGCGUAAAGAGUUGCGUAGGUGGUUCAAUAAGCGAAUAGUGAAAGCUGGUGGCUCAACCAUUCAGACUAUUAUUCGAACUGUUGAACUCGAGAGCAGAAGAGGUAGCUGGAAUUUCUAGUGUAGGAGUGAAAUCCGUAGAUAUUAGAAGGAACACCGAUGGCGUAGGCAGGCUACUGGGCUGUUUCUGACACUGAGGCACGAAAGCGUGGGGAGCGAACCGGAUUAGAUACCCGGGUAGUCCACGCCGUAAACGAUGGAUACUAGCUGUUUGGGGUAUCGACCCCCUGAGUAGCGAAGCUAACGCGUUAAGUAUCCCGCCUGUGGAGUACGAUCGCAAGAUUAAAACAUAAAGGAAUUGACGGGGACCCGCACAAGCGGUGGAUCAUGUUCUUUAAUUCGAUGAUAACCGAUAAACCUUACCAGGUCUUGACAUCCUUGGAAUCUUUCAGAAAUGAGAGAGUGCUUUUUAAGAGCCAAGUGACAGGUGAUGCAUGGCCGUCGUCAGCUCGUGUCGUGAGAUGUUUGGUUAAGUCCAUCAACGAGCGCAACCCUUGUCAGUAGUUGUAUUUUUCUACUGAGACUG
rnacentral:rRNA from 1 species